AUUGACGUGACCCUCCGUCCCCAGGCCUGGCUCCCCGAGGGCUCAGAAGAGCAGCUUCGGUGUGCAGAUCAUCCGUCCAUGUGGGCUUCUCAGUGCCAGGGGCCUCGGGGUUGGGGCCAGGCCUCACAUGUGCCGAGAAGCUGGGUGGGCUGAUGCUCCCCUCCAUCCCCGUCGGCCCUGUCCCCUGGAGUGUGUCAGAGCCCAGGGGAGAAUGGAGCCCAUCAGGGGCACCUGGACCCCCGCCCACCACGUGGCGUGGCCGUCACUCAGCCCCCACCACUGCCCUGCUCCUAAGGGUAGAAAAUCCCAGGGUCCCCUGCCAAGCCCCGUGGCAGCCGCCCGUCCUGGAGCAGAAAGUGCCUUUAUCUCAGCCAUCCGCAGGCGGCUCUGCGGAGACAGGCUGGAAUGAGGGAGGCGUCUUCAUCUCCCUGCCAUCCCCCUCUCAUGCCACCCCUCCCACAGGGCUGCAGGGGCUGCUGAUGCGCUGGGAUGUGAUUGAGGAUAAAAAGGAAGGAAAGAUGACCCCCACCCCCUCAUCCCCCAGUUUUGAAAAGGUCCAAGCAAGUGAGUCUGGUGGAGGAGCUGAGGGAGGGAGCCAUGGAAGGUGCCAGAAGGAAGGCUGGCGGGGGCAUGUGUGGGCCGUGGCUUAGGCUGGUCAGAGUGGCCUGAGCUGCCCGGUGGUUGCCCUGCCCAAGUGACCAGGGAAGUGUGUGUGUGUGUGUCCACGUGUGUGUGUGUCCGUCUGUCUGUCUAGUGUCUGGGUUUGGCCCAAGACUGGGCUGUGGUUACAUUAAUGCCCAGCCAACCACCCCCGCCACUCACCCCUCCUGGCCCAGGCCUUGCUGACUCUGUGACCUGGGGAGGUGGGAGGCCAGGCGAGCCUGACUCUGUUGUCCUACCCAUGCCUGGGCCCCUCCCCUCAGGGCCCAUGGUAACGAACCCCUAGGAAGAAGAGACUGGGUGUUAGGGGUGCACAGUCCACAGUGAGCUGAAGAGCGAGGUUUCAUGGCAACAUGGCCCGGCCCCUCACCCUCCGUCCCCACAACAGGACCCGUGGGGCCUGCCUUUGCAGGGCACAGAUGACCAAAGUCCUUUCCUGCUUCCUGUUCCCUGUCUUACUCUGGGGAGAAAGAGGGGCCUGAUGAGACUCCACACGGGUAGACACAUCACCAGGGGCAUCUGCAGGCCCCGGGCUGGCUGCUUGUAGCCAGGAGAAGGGCAACGGGAGGGAGCGUGCGUGUAAGUGUGUGUGAGUAUGUGUGUGUAUGUGUGUGCAUGGAAAUCCGGGCAUUGGAUGUCUGACUCCCUCCCCACCCAAAAGGGGAAGGACCCCUCACCACCUCCAUCGGCGGGACAGUUUACUUGCCAACUCGCCGUGUUUUUGCCAAAACCAAGAUUUUGAAGGAAAUGAGUGGCCAGCGCCAGAGCCCAGGCCGUGUGGCCUGCCCAGCCUCAGCGUCACUCGGUGGCAGGGUGGGGUGGGGGGUGGGCAGCAGCAUCCCAGCCUAGAGACGCUUCACUUUCCUUCUCUGUAACCAGACUUUGAGACAUUGUUCGUUUCAUCAGGCUCUGUUCCUCAAUGGCCUUUUGCUACGUGCCUCCCAAGAAAUUUGUCUCUUUUUGUAUAAAUGACAAAGUGUUGAAAAUGUAUUUCCUGAAAUAAAUGUUUCAAAUGCAGAAACCCA